GCAAGUCGAACGAGAAAGUCACUUCGGUGGCGAGUACAGUGGCGCACGGGUGAGUAACGCGUAGGUGACAUGCCUGUUAGUGGGGGACAACAUCGGGAAACCGGUGCUAAUACCGCAUAAGUUAAACGACAUUGAAAAAGUUUAAGAAAGGGGCUUCGGUCUCGCUGACAGAUUGGCCUGCGUAUCAUUAGCUUGUUGGUGGGGUAAUGGCCUACCAAGGCGACGAUGAUUAACUGGUCUGAGAGGAUGAUCAGUCACACUGGAACUGAGACACGGUCCAGACUCCUACGGGAGGCAGCAGUAGGGAAUAUUGCACAAUGGGGGAAACCCUGAUGCAGCAAUGCCACGUGAGUGAGGAAGGCCUUCGGGUUGUAAAGCUCUGUCCUAUAGGAAGAACGGCACUAGGUAACGCUAGUGUUUGACGGUACUAUAGAAGAAAGCACCGGCUAACUCCGUGCCAGCAGCCGCGGUAAUACGGAGGGUGCAAGCGUU
rnacentral:rRNA from 1 species